AGAGUUUGAUCAUGGCUCAGGAUGAACGCUGGCGGCGUGCCUAACACAUGCAAGUCGAGGAGAUGUUUGUGACAGAUCCUUCGGGUGACGGAUCAAACGGAAAGCGGCGGACGGGUGAUAACGCGUAGGCAACCUGCCCUUCACAGAGGGAUAGCCUCGGGAAACCGGGAUUAAAACUCAUAACGCCAUAGGGAGACAUCUCCUCUUGGCCAAAGAUUUAUCGGUGAAGGAUGGGCUGCGUCUGAUUAGUUAGUUGGUGGGGUAACGGCCUACCAAGGCGACGAUCAGUAGCCGACUGAGAGGGUGAUCGGCCACAUUGGAACUGAGACACGGUCCAAACUCCUACGGGAGGCACAGUGGGGAAUAUUGCACAAUGGGGGAAACCCUGAUGCAGCAACGCCGCGUGAAGGAUGAGGCCUUCGGGUCGUAAACUUCUGUCCUUGGGGAAGAAACAAAUGACGGUACCCUUGGAGAAGCCCCGGCUAACUACGUGCCAGCAGCCGCGGUAAUACGUAGGGGGCAAGCGUUAUCGGAAUUAUUGGGCGUAAAGAGUACGUAGGCGGUCUCUUAAGCGCAGGGUUUAAGGCAAUGCUCAACCAUUGUUCGCCCUGUGAACUGGGAGACUUGAGUAUCGGAGAGGAAAGCGGAAUCCUAGUGUAGCGGUGAAAUGCGUAGAUAUUAGGAGGAACACCAGUGGCGAAGGCGGCUUCUGGACGAAUACUGACGCUGAGGUACGAAAGCGUGGGGAGCAAACAGGAUUAGAUACCUGGUAGUCCACGCCGUAAACGAUGAGCACUAGUGUCGGGGCCGCAAGGUUUCGGUGCCGAGUUAACGCAUUAAGUGCUCCGCCUGGGGAGUACGCACGCAAGUGUGAAACUCAAAG
rnacentral:rRNA from 1 species